ACAAUAAUCGGCACGUCGGUCUACUGACAAAUUUAACCCGCUCGGUGAAUGAUCUGCCCUUUAUCAU
rnacentral:pre_miRNA from 1 species